rnacentral:rRNA from 1 species
CUACCAUGCAGUCGAGCGGCAGCGACAACAUUGAACCUUCGGGGGAUUUGUUGGGCGGCGAGCGGCGGACGGGUGAGUAAUGCCUGGGAAAUUGCCCUGAUGUGGGGGAUAACCAUUGGAAACGAUGGCUAAUACCGCAUGAUAGCUUCGGCUCAAAGAGGGGGACCUUCGGGCCUCUCGCGUCAGGAUAUGCCCAGGUGGGAUUAGCUAGUUGGUGAGGUAAGGGCUCACCAAGGCGACGAUCCCUAGCUGGUCUGAGAGGAUGAUCAGCCACACUGGAACUGAGACACGGUCCAGACUCCUACGGGAGGCAGCAGUGGGGAAUAUUGCACAAUGGGCGCAAGCCUGAUGCAGCCAUGCCGCGUGUAUGAAGAAGGCCUUCGGGUUGUAAAGUACUUUCAGCAGUGAGGAAGGAGGUAUCGUUAAUAGCGGUAUCUUUUGACGUUAGCUGCAGAAGAAGCACCGGCUAACUCCGUGCCAGCAGCCGCGGUAAUACGGAGGGUGCGAGCGUUAAUCGGAAUUACUGGGCGUAAAGCGCAUGCAGGUGGUUUGUUAAGUCAGAUGUGAAAGCCCGGGGCUCAACCUCGGAAUUGCAUUUGAAACUGGCAGCUAGAGUACUGUAGAGGGGGGUAGAAUUUCAGUGUAGCGUGAAAUGCGUAGAGAUCUGAAGGAUACCGGUGGCGAGCGCCCCUGACAGAUACUGAACACUCAGAUGCGAAAGCGUGGGGGAGCAAACAGGAUUAGAUACCCUGGUAGUCCACCGCCGUAAACGAUUGUCUAACUUGGAGGUGUGUGCCUUGA